rnacentral:lncRNA from 1 species
AUAUUUGAUUUAAAAAAAAAAAUAAUAAUAGUCUCAACAUAUAUUUUAAAGUAACAAUAGAUAUAAACAUUUUACACAUUGAAAUCGAAUCAGCUAAUACGUUUCUGGAGAGAGAAAGAAGAGUGAGAAUUUGCUCUCUAGGAACCCCAAGUGGGUUAAAGUGUUCUUUUAAUAGAAAGAGAGUUCAACUCGUCUUUGAUGAGUGGGGGUCUUUAAAACACGUUUUAUUUUUCCCUUCUUAUCCUCUUAUAUUAUAUUUAAGUGGGUUUUGGCUUAAAAGAAAGAUCUUUUCAGUGUUUCUGUUCGGUGUUCUUAUCGCUUUUGAAUCUGGGUUGUAGAAAGAAAAAAAAAAGACCUAUUCCGUCUAGUUCUCGUCUGCAAAUAUGUCUGUGGCUAUGGAUCGGGCCUUAAUGGCUUUGUCCCUGG